UACGUAGGGUGCAAGCGUUAAUCGGAAUUACUGGGCGUAAAGCGUGCGCAGGCGGUCUGCUAAGUGAGGUGUGAAAUCCCCGGGCUUAACCUGGGAACUGCGCUUCUAACUGGCAGGCUUGAGUGUGGCAGAGGGGGGUGGAAUUCCACGUGUAGCAGUGAAAUGCGUAGAGAUGUGGAGGAACACCGAUGGCGAAGGCAGCCCCCUGGGCUAACACUGACGCUCAUGCACGAAAGCGUGGGGAGCAAACAGG
rnacentral:rRNA from 1 species